rnacentral:sRNA from 1 species
CCUGAGCUUCGCGGGGGAAGGUGAGAACCUUCGACCCAGGUUCGCGUCGAGCCUCGCGAAACAACGAUGUGCAGUAUCGGCCCGCAGGGUGAGGCGCAACGCUCCGAAUCAUCCUUCAUCCCCCCCUU